CGUCCAUGACACGGACUACCAGUGCUUUGUGAUGCGCUCUCAAAGAGUCGAGUUGUUUGGGAAUGCAGCUCAAAAUGGGUGGUAAAUUCCAUCUAAAGCUAAAUAUUGGCGAGAGACCGAUAGCGAACAAGUACCGUGAGGGAAAGAUGAAAAGCACUUUGGAAAGAGAGUUAAACAGUACGUGAAAUUGCUGAAAGGGAACCGCUUGAAGUCAGUCGCGUCGUCUAGAACUCAACCCGGCUUUUGCUUGGUGCACUUUCUAGUUGACGGGCCAACAUCAGUUUUGACUGCCGGAAAAAAGCCUUUGGAAUGUGGCACCUACGGGUGUGUUAUAGCCUUUGGUUGUAUACGGUGGUUGGGACUGAGGACCGCAGCACGCCUUUUGGCCGGGGUUCGCCCACGUACGUGCUUAGGAUGUUGGCGUAAUGGCUUUAAGCGACCCGUCUUGAAACACGGACCAAGGAGUCUAACAUGCCUGCGAGUGUUUGGGUGGCAAACCCGAGCGCGCAAUGAAAGUGAAAGUCGAGAUCCCUGUCGUGGGGGAGCACCGACGCCCAUACCAGACCUUCUGUGACGGAUAUGCGGUUGAGNCAUGUAUGUUGGGACCCGAAAGAUGGUGAACUAUGCCUGAAUAGGGUGAAGCCAGAGGAAACUCUGGUGGUGCUNGUNGCGAUUCUGACGUGCAAAUCG
rnacentral:rRNA from 1 species